CCUACGGGGGGCUGCAGUGAGGAAUAUUGGUCAAUGGGCGUACGCCUGAACCAGCCAAGUCGCGUGAGGGAAGACUGCCCUAUGGGUUGUAAACUUCUUUUAUAAAGGAAUAAAACGAGGCACGUGUGCCUUUUUGCAUGUACUUUAUGAAUAAGGAUCGGCUAACUCCGUGCCAGCAGCCGCGGUAACACGGAGGAUCCGAGCGUUAUCCGGAUUUAUUGGGUUUAAAGGGAGCGUAGAUGGGUUGUUAAGUCAGUUGUGAAAGUUUGCGGCUCAACCGUAAAAUUGCAAUUGAUACUGGCAGUCUUGAGUACAGUUGAGGUAGGCGGAAUUCGUGGUGUAGCGGUGAAAUGCUUAGAUAUCACGAAGAACCCCGAUUGCGAAGGCAGCUUACUAAACUGUGACUGACAUUGAUGCUCGAAAGUGUGGGUAUCAAACAGGAUUAGAUACCCCUGUAGUC
rnacentral:rRNA from 1 species